GAGUCCAUAGUGGCCCAUACCGGUUUGUACUGGUCCAUACUGGUCCAUAUCGGUUUGUACUGGUCCGUACUGGUUUUUACUGGUCCAUACUGGUUUAUACUGGUCUGUACUGGUGCCUCUGACCCCUCUCUUUCCCCUCCAGAUGCCACCAGUCCCUUCCAUUAUGGUGAGUGGGGGGAACUGGGAGGGACUGGGAGGGACUGGGAAUGUCCCCAAGGUGUCCCCAGGUGUAUCUCAGGUGUCCCCAGGUGUAUCUCAGGUGUCUCCAAGCUGUCCCUCUGUGUCCCCUCCCCAGACUGGUGUCACCUGCGUGUUGGUGGCCUCGUGGUGGCCGCGGUGCUGAGCGCAGUUGGGAUCAUUAUCCUGUUCAGUGAGUGCCACACCUGUCACCUGUCAUUGUCACCUGUGUCACACCUUUGUCACACUUGUGUCACCUCUGUCACCUGUGUGUCACCUGUCAUUGUCACCUGUGUGUCAUUGUCGCUUGCGUGUCAUUGUCACCUGCAUGUCAUUGUCACCUGUUCAGUGAGUGCCACACCUGUGUCACCUGUGUCACACCUGUCAUUGUCACCUGUGUGUCACCUGCGUGUCAUUGUCACCUGUUCAGUGAGUGCCACACCUGUGUCACCUGUGUCACACCUGUCAUUGUCACCUGUGUGUCACCUGCGUGUCAUUGUCACCUGUUCAGUGAGUGCCACACCUGUGUCACCUGUGUCACACCUGUCAUUGUCACCUGUGUGUCACCUGCGUGUCAUUGUCACCUGUUCAGUGAGUGCCACACCUGUGUCACCUGUGUCACACCUGUCAUUGUCACCUGUGUGUCACCUGCGUGUCAUUGUCACCUGUUCAGUGAGUGCCACACCUGUGUCACCUGUGUCACACCUGUCAUUGUCACCUGUGUGUCACCUGCGUGUCAUUGUCACCUGUUCAGUGAGUGCCACACCUGUGUCACCUGUGUCACACCUGUCAUUGUCACCUGUGUGUCACCUGCGUGUCAUUGUCACCUGUUCAGUGAGUGCCACACCUGUGUCACCUGUGUCACACCUGUCAUUGUCACCUGUGUGUCACCUGCGUGUCAUUGUCACCUGUUCAGUGAGUGCCACACCUGUGUCACCUGUGUCACACCUGUCAUUGUCACCUGUGUGUCACCUGCGUGUCAUUGUCACCUGUUCAGUGAGUGCCACACCUGUUCACACCUGUGUUACCUGUGUGUCAUUGUCACCUGUGUCAUUGUCACCAGUGUCACACCUGUGUCAUUGUCACCUGUGUGUCAUUGUCACCUGUGUCACACUGGCAUUGUCAUCUGUGUCACCUGUGUCACCUGUCAUUGUCACGUGUGUGUCAUUGUUGCCUGCGUCACACCUGUGUUACCUGUGUGUCAUUGUCACCUGUGUCAUUGUCACCAGUGUCACACCUGUGUCAUUGUCACCUGUGUGUCAUUGUCACCUGUGUCACACCUGUGUCAUUGUCCCCUGUGUCACCUUUGUGUCCUCUCAGGUGGGAUGUGCAAGUGCCGGAGCAAGGCCAGCCGCCGAUGCCCGUCCCCGGAGCUGUCACCUGUACCUGGGACAGGAGCCACCAGCUCGUGCUGAGCUGUCCCCAAGUGUCCCCAAAAUGUCCUGAAAUGUCCCCAAAAUGUCCCCAGAAAAGGACGAUGAAUAAAAUUGGGUGGAAAAAAAAGGAUUUUGGUCCUUGGGGGAGGGGCAGCAGCACCGCGGGGACAGUGGGGGGGACACGGGAACAGCAGGAGGGGAUGUUGGGUGAUGAUGGCACUGGGAGGGGACACAAAGACAGAGGUGACACUAGGGUGACAAUGGCCUUGGGGACAUCGGGUCAGUGGUGGCACCAGGAAGGGACAUUGGGUGAUGGUGGCCUUGGGGACAUUUGGGUGACAGUGGCUUUGGGGACAUCAAUUCACUGGUGGCCUUGGGGACAUCAGAGGGAUGGUGACACCAGCAGAGGACACGAGACCAAUGGUGACAUUGAGUGAUGAUGGCCUUGGGGACAUCGGGUAAUGGUGGCACAAGAAAGUGACACAAAGCCAAUGGUGACAUGGGGGUGACAGUGGUGGCCUUGGGGACAUUGAUUCACUGAUGGCCUUGGGGACUUUUGGGUGACAGUGGCCUUAGGGACAUCGAGGCCAUGGUGGCACCAGAAGAGGACACAAGACCAAUUGAUGACACUGAGGUGACAGUGGUGGCCUUGGGGGACAUCUGGGUGACAGUGGCUUUGGGGACAUCGGGUUGCUGGUAGCCUUGGGGCCAGCACGGAGAUGGUGGCACCAGGAGGGGACACUGGGGGUGAUGGUGGCCUUGGGGACAUCAGGGUGACAGUGGUGGCCUUGGAGACACCAGAGUCAUGGUGGCACCAGGAGGGGACACUGGGUCCAUGAUGGUGGCCUUGGGGACUUUGAGGCAUUGCUGACACCAGGAAGGGACACUGGGGUGACAGUGGCCUUGGGGACAUCACAGCGAUGGUGGCACCAGGAGGGGACACUGGGUCAGUGGUGGCCUUGGGGACAUUGGGUCAACAGUGGCACCAGGAGAGGACAUGGGGGUGACAGUGGAGACAUUGAGGCAAUGGUGGCACGAGAAGAGGACACGAGACCAAUGAUGGCACUCAAGUGACAGUGGUGGCCUUGGGGGCAUGGGUGACAGUGGCACUGGGAAGGGACAUCUGGGUGACAGUGGCUUUGGGGACAUUGGGUCACUGUUGGCUGUGGUGACAUCAGGGUGACAGUGGCCUUGGGGACAUCACAGCAAUGGUGGCACCAGAAGAGGACACGAGACCAAUGAUGACACUCAAAUGACAGUGGUGGCUUUGGUGACAUUGGGUGAUGGUGGCACUGGGAGGGGACAUUGGGGUGACAGUGGUGGUCUUGGGGACAUCUCAGCAGUGGUGGCACUGGGAGGGGACAUUGAUGUGAUGAUGGCCUUGGGGACACUGGGGUGAUGGUGGCACAGGAAAGUGACACAAAGCCAAUGGUGACAUCAGGGUGACAGUGGCACUGGGAGGGGACAUCGGGUUGCUGGUGGCCUUGGAUCUAGCAGAGAUGGUGGCAGGGGACACUGGGGGUGAUGGUGGCCUUGGGGACAUCAAUUUACUGGUGGCCUUGGGGACAUUAGAGCAAUGGUGGCACCAGGUAGGGACAUCGGUCAGUGGUGGCCUUGGGGACAUCGGGGUAAUGGUGGCACAAGAAAGUGACACAAAGCCAAUGGUGACAUCAGGGUGAUGGUGGCUUUGGGGACAUCAAGGAGAUGGUGGCACCGGGAGGGGACACUGAGGUGACAGUGGUGGCCUUGGGGACAUCAGGGCCUUGGCGGCACCAGGUGGUGUCAUGGAGCCAUGGGUGACAUUGAGGGAUAGUGGCCUUGGGGACAGCAGGGUGAUGGUGGCACCAGGAGGGGACAUUUGGUGCUGGUGGCCUUGGGGACAUCAGGUCAAUGAUUGUGGCCUUGGCGACAGCCAAGGGUGAUGGUGACACCAGGAGGUGACAUCGGGUCAAUGGUGGCCUUGGGGACAUUGGGUGAACAGUGGGACCAGGAGGGGACAUCGGGUUGACAGUGGCCUUGGAGACAUCGUGUCAUGGUGGCUCCAGGUCCCCACCGGUGUCCAGUCGAUGUCCCUGCGCCCCUCAGGCUGCCACCACAUGUCUCCACGGUGUCCCCUCAUGUCCCCAUCUCCACGGUAACCAUUGUCCCCACACCCUCUCAAUGUCCCCUCAGGUCCCAAUGUCCUUGGUCAUGUGGUGGCCACUGUCCCCUGAUGUCUCCAAUGUCCCCUCAUGUCCUGAUGUCCUCGGUGACAUGGUGGCCACUGUCCCCCAAUGUCCUCAGCUGUACCUGAUGUCCCCAGCUGUACCCCAUGUCCCCUAGGUCCUGAUGUCCUCGGUGAUGUGGUGGCCACUGUCCCCGCUGUUCCCACUGUUACUGAUGUCCCCGAUGUCCCUCAUGUCCUGAUGUCCUCGGUGAUGUGGUGGCCGCUGUCCCCAGCUGUCCCCAAUGUCCCCACGUUCUCGGUGACAUGGUGGCCACUGUCCCCUGAUGUCCCUAGCUGUCCCCAAUGUCCCCUAGGUCCCAAUGUCCUUGGUGACGUGGUGGCCACUGUUCCCACUGUCCCCUCAUGUCCUGAUGUCCCCAUCUGUCCCCAAUGUCCCUCACAUCCCAACGUCCUCGGUGACGUGGCCACUGUCCCCUGAUGUCCCCCGAUGUCCCCAUCUGUCCCCGAUGUCCCCUCAGGUCCCAGUGUCCCCAGUGACGUGGUGGCUUCCGUCCCCCAAUGUCCCCAUCUGUCCCAUCUGUUCCCUCAUGUCCCGGUGUCCUUGGUGAUGUGGUGGCCACUGUUCCCAUCUGUCCCCACUGUCCCUGAUAUCCCCUAGGUGCUGAUGUCCUUGGUGACAUGAUGGCCACUAUCUUAGCUGUCCCCAAUGUCCCCUGAUGUCCCAGUGCCCAUGGUGACGUGGUGGCCACUGUUCCCCAAUGUCCCCAUUCCCUCACAUCCCGACAUCCUCGGUGGGGAUAUGGUGGCCACUGUCCCCAUCUGUCCCUUGUGUCCCGAUGUCCCCAGCUGUUCCCGAUGUCCCCACUGUCCCCUGAUGUCCCCAUUGUCCCCUCAUGUCCCCACAUCCUCGGUGACAUGCACGUAGAUCUGUGUGGCGCCCUUGAAGCUGGUGGCCAGUAGGAAGUGCCGCUGGCCGGCGGCGAGCGGGACGAAGGCGCGGGGCGUGGGCGCGGGCAGCUCCUGGCCAGGCUCGAGGCGGCCGCCGGGGCCCAGCCGGAACACGCGGCUCGGCGCGAAGUCGUUUCCCAGCAGGACGUAGCGCUGGCCCGCCAGGAGCAGCGGCUGGGAAAGGGGGGGGGGGGGGGGGGGGGGGGGGGGGGGGGGGGGGGGGGGGGGGGGGGGGGGGGGGGGGGGGGGGG
ensembl:lncRNA